AGAAAGACUAACUUUCAAUCAAUUUGGUAAAAAAAAAAAGAAGAAGAAAAUCGUUGUGAACGAAGUUACGUGACGUGGCUUUCCAGCAGCGGAAGAGGUUCGCAUCUGAUCUGAAAGCUGACAGAAGCAGACCCUGCUUAACCAUUUGAAUUUAUUUUGUACAGCAGCCAAUAAAAAAGAACAAGGAUGGUUACAGACGUUCAGCUGGCAAUAUUCGCCAACAUGCUUGGCGUAUCGUUGUUCCUGCUUGUCGUGUUGUAUCACUACGUUGCCGUCAACAAUCCCAAGAAGCUGGAGUAGAUUCCCUUCCCCCUUCCCCCUCCUGGUAAUAAUGAAGGGGUGUGUGUAUGAGAGAUUGGGGCCAGGCCUACCCUGAAAAUCCUUGGUGCCACUUGCAAGAAUAUUCCAGCUUUCUCUACCCAUACACCACCUGUCAUCCCUUCCUACUUUUCCACAUAGACGUAAUUCCCCGUAUGUACAGGAGUGCUUUCUAAUAAAAAUGUGUGUGAAUCA